CACGAUACAAAAUUUUUAAAUUCGAUUAAUGGCGGAUCCAACAUGGCCGACUUAUGUCUUAAGAGGUUAUCAGAUUUGCAUAAAGGGAUGAAAAGACAUACGUAAGAGCUUUUGGAGUUGCUAAUUACAAAUUUAAGUACAAAUUAAAAAUGGCCAAAUUCAAGAUGGCCGACAGUACACAGACACAACAUUAUAUUAUUAUAAUGUUUUAAAUUAUAACUUUUGAACUAGAAAUUUAUGAGAAUGAACUUUCAGGUACUGAAACAGAAACCUAAGAAUAAUAAAAUAAAAAUGAUUUAAGACAAAACAAAUUAUAUAAAUAAUUUUUUCUGCGAUUAUUUUAAGCAACUGCGAUUAUUUUAAUCUCUCUCAUAGCAUGUUAAAAUUCAAGAAUCUAAACAAAAUUGAAAUUGUAGCCUUAUUUAUCUUCUUUAUAUAUCAUCUUCUAAAAAUGAUGAUUUUUUUAAAGCUAAUAUAUUAAAAUGAACUGGAGAUUCUGCGUUAAAGAUAUUACAAUAAAAUUAUAAUAUAAGCUACAAAAUUGAUUUCUUGAACUAAAUGUACCUACCAUGAUCGAAAGAAAAAAAUAGACUGAUUUGAUCAAAAGUAAUUUAUUUUUUUCUUUAAAAACUUAAACAUGGAAUGCAACUUCUACACAUAGUGACAGGGUAUAAUAUGUAAAACUACGGUACUACUAUAUUCAUAAUUCUUUACGGCUUUUACAAGAUUCAACAUAAUAUACUUUAUCGUGUACAAUAAUAGCAUGAUUCACCAUCGGUAGCAAUAAUCCUUAGACUCUGUACUAACUAUUGUGUAUAUCCCCUGUACUGAUUUCUUUACAAGUGAGUAUCUGACUUCUGCAUCGUUUCCUAUCCAUAUUUACUCUGAUGUUAAAUUCAUUCCAUAUUUACAAAUAUACAGAGUAAGUCGGUUUCGCAUAGUUUGUUCCAAUCCUUAUGUUCUCCACAUAUCUUAUAAAAACAGAGAAGUAGGCUCUCAUUUAGGUUUUCUAGAAACACAAUUCUUUCUUUGUAGAGUUGAAAAAUUGGAAAAUGAAGCUAUACUUAUCGCUGGAAAUUAUUAUACAAUACUUAUUCGUCUAGUUCCUUUUGUUUGCCUAAUUACUGACAAAAUUAAAUCGUAGAAUACUAUAAUUCUACAUUGCACAGAUAUAUUAAUCAAUCGAAAUGUAAGACCAUUAGUCAACAUGAAAAAUAUAUACUUUCCACAGAGUUGAAUUGCAAAUUUGAUAGAAUUAAAAUACAAAUUAGUUUAAUCUCUAUAUUAUCCUGUGUACUUACUAUGUCAUAUAGCAUACGUACAAAAGUAUACCCACAACAAUGAGUACUCAUCUCUUCUUUUAACGGAAAGCAAACAACAGCAUGUUAACUUAACUAAUACCAUAAUUACUAUUCGCAAGAUGCUUGUUUUAGUUAAAUAAUUCACUAUUUCUAAUCAUAAUACAGAAAAGAAAAAGAUGUUGAACAAUAGGAAAUAUUUGAUCGCCACAAAGAAUACUUCAUUUUAAUUCGAAAACUCGAAUCAAUAUUUCAUUCCUCAAUUUAUAUUUUAUCCUUUGCAUAUCCAAGUGUUCGAAUUGAUAUCAAAGUAAAGUAUUUUUAACUAUCAACAUUUAUUUGAAUAAAAGUAUGCUUCCGUAUGAGCAUACAAUGCUUUUUCCAUAAAAGAAACUCGAGAAUUGUAUUUUUGUUUACAUUUAUUUACACAGAAUACGCUUCCUGUACACGCAUCGAAAGGUAGUCCUCCAUGUUCGUUGCUUUCUCCCUUUCUCAUGAAAAUGAGAAUCGAUACUCAAAUAAAAUGAUGUGAUCCUCUAGAUAGUGCUAGCGGAGGGGAAACUUAUGCUUACAAAUCAAUUAUCAGAACUUUUUGCUUGCGGCGAACAGAGUAAAGGCACCUUGAAAUUGUUCAGUGUCCGUCACCUAUAUUAUUUGGUUUUGUAGCAAUUAUUUGUGAUCUUUUGUGAUCAAAUGUACUGUCGCAAUGAAUAACAAACUUUAGCGUGUGCUCAAAUGUACACAGAGUGAUCCACUGGAAGCAUCGCAGUCCUUUUUGUUACAUUAAGAUUCUCUGCAACAUAUAACAAAUAACAUUCAUUUAAAGUGUAUUUCUUACUGUACAUAGUAUUUGAGAUACAACAAGAAAUAUAAAACUGAUGAAUAUAGUUGCAUCGUUCACAUUAUGCAUAGCAAAAACAGAGUUUUAAACAAGUGUUAUUUAUGUUAACAUGAAUUGUAUAUCAUAUCAUCAUGUACCACAUAAGCUGCAGAAAACCCUAAUGCAUCAAAAAUAGUUACAGAAAAUAAAAUACUUCCUACAGACCAUCCUGUUGUAACAUACAUAUAUGUAUAUAUAUGUAAUACUCCACAAAUGUAUAAUUGGUCAAAGAAAGUGUAGGACCAUCUCAAGUACCAAUAAGUACUCGCAGCUACUCAUCAUACUCAACAAUAAUUACAAAUGAAGUCAAUGGACACAAAUGUAGAAGUUGAUCCUGUGCGAAUUACAACUUCCCUUUUGUACGCCUCACUACGCAGAAGCUAGAUUGAAAUUUAAUGCCCUGCAAAUGUAAUAUUCUCACCUAAAUUUGAUCGUAGUGGGUAAUGUGUAAGUGUUGACGAUGAACGUUAUAAAAGUCUGAUGAAUCAGCUUGUUUUAAUCUGAAUGCAUAUCUCUAAACGAAUACCCUGUAUCUUACUUUUGCGGUUGGUUUGUUCCGAGAUUUUUCAACGAUGAUUAUUUUAAAUACAAUAUGCAAAUUUUAGUAUUAACUAAGCACAGUAGUGUAACUAUUAAUGAGACUGCGAUGGAGUACAUCCAAUACGUAGUUGUGAUAAUUAAAUUGAGAUGACUAUACGAUGAAAACUAUUUAGUUUGUGAGUUGAUGUUUCAAAUUUGGUCCAUUUUGGAAGACAACCACAUUAAGUACGCCUUCGAUGAAUGUUUGCUUCAUGCGUUUGAUAGUAUGAAGCACAUAAAACAGAACCGUAACUAGUUUACAACUUCCUUCACACCUUUCCUCUUCGAUACCAUUCUAUUAAUACGAUAGCUCUAAAAACAUUUUUUAAAUCAAAGUUUCGUGGAAACUGUGCGAUUAACUUUGCAUGUCGGUUGGUUGUAUAGAUUGUGCAUAUGCUAGCAAUACACUUCAUGCCUUUUUAUAAAUAGUUUCGUCUUGAAAGUAGGUCUUGUACAAUAGCUAUUCUGCAAUGUAAGAAAUAAAAUAAAACUAAUUCUCUGCAGAAACAUAGUUUAUGGAGACUUCAUUCUUUAUAUGAAAUAAAUAGAAUAACUUACUUUACAGCAUACACAGUUACAGAAAAUAUUAUAAUGGACCGUAACAAUAACGUGUUGUGCAUACAAGUGCAUCUCCUAUCGUUCAAAGUAAAUUAACUGAUAUUUACCAUUAAGAAGAAAAAGCCAUUCUGUGAGCCAACGCAAUUUUCUUGUAAUAUGUAAUAUGUAAUGUUACAAGAAUUGUUGUAUAUUAUAUUAUAAUACGUGAUUAAAGAAAAUUUGUAUUGAAUUUCAGUGAUUCGUCAAUUAUAUUUACAGUAUUAAAAGAUUUAAAAUUCUUAAGUAAAGUUAAAUUUCGUUAGUAACAUAUUUUAUACUGAACGGUUACCAUAAAUAUAAAUGUUCAUAAUAAUUAUUUUAUAUAAAAAGGCAGCAUAUAAAUAAGAAAAAAAAAAACAAUAUUACUUUGCCAUUACAAACAGCAGACAUAAGAAAUAUAAAAUAAUUUAGCAUUGAUGUUUAAAAUAAAUCUAAAAACAAA